rnacentral:rRNA from 1 species
ACCCCAAACCGACACAGGUGGUCAGGUAGAGAAGACCAAGGCGCCUGAGAGAACGCGGGGGAAGGAACUAGGCAAAAUGGUGCCGGAACUUCGGGAGAAGGCACGCUGAUAUGUAGGUGAAGUCCCUUGCGGAUGGAGCUGAAAGCAGUCGAAGAUACCAGCUGGCUGCAACUGUUUAUUAAAAACACAGCACUGUGCAAACACGAAAGUGGACGUAUACGGUGUGACGCCUGCCCGGU